rnacentral:rRNA from 1 species
GUGGCUCUGGCCGGCGGCUAUACAUGCAGUCGAGCGACAGACGAGGAGCUUGCUCCUCUGACGUUAGCGGCGGACGGGUGAGUAACACGUGGAUAACCUACCUAUAAGACUGGGAUAACUUCGGGAAACCGGAGCUAAUACCGGAUAAUAUAUUGAACCGCAUGGUUCAAUAGUGAAAGACGGUUUUGCUGUCACUUAUAGAUGGAUCCGCGCCGCAUUAGCUAGUUGGUAAGGUAACGGCUUACCAAGGCAACGAUGCGUAGCCGACCUGAGAGGGUGAUCGGCCACACUGGAACUGAGACACGGUCCAGACUCCUACGGGAGGCAGCAGUAGGGAAUCUUCCGCAAUGGGCGAAAGCCUGACGGAGCAACGCCGCGUGAGUGAUGAAGGUCUUCGGAUCGUAAAACUCUGUUAUUAGGGAAGAACAAAUGUGUAAGUAACUAUGCACGUCUUGACGGUACCUAAUCAGAAAGCCACGGCUAACUACGUGCCAGCAGCCGCGGUAAUACGUAGGUGGCAAGCGUUAUCCGGAAUUAUUGGGCGUAAAGCGCGCGUAGGCGGUUUUUUAAGUCUGAUGUGAAAGCCCACGGCUCAACCGUGGAGGGUCAUUGGAAACUGGAAAACUUGAGUGCAGAAGAGGAAAGUGGAAUUCCAUGUGUAGCGGUGAAAUGCGCAGAGAUAUGGAGGAACACCAGUGGCGAAGGCGACUUUCUGGUCUGUAACUGACGCUGAUGUGCGAAAGCGUGGGGAUCAAACAGG